UCUGGCAAUACGUCAGGAUACCAGGGUUGUAAACGUUGCAAGUGUUUAGUAAUCCAGCUUCUGUUCUCUUCCAGAAUUGCGGGAA
rnacentral:tRNA from 1 species